rnacentral:ncRNA from 1 species
CAGUUGUGGUGCUCGUAAGAGCUUAAAAGGGAAGUUCGGUGAGAUUCCGACACAGGCCCGCUGCUGUUAUUGGUAUAAUUUUAGUGUUAUUUACCACUGGAAAUCCGGGAAGGUUCGCUAAAAGGCCAUAAGUCAGAAGACCUACCACAAAAAU